UACGGAGGGAGCUAGCGUUGUUCGGAAUUAUCUGGGCGUAAAGCGCGCGUAGGCGGCUUUGUAAAGUUAGGAGGUGAAGCCCGGGGCUCAACCCCGGAACUGCCUUUGAAGACUGCAUCGCUUGAAUCCGGGAGGAAGGUGAGUGGAAUUCCGAGUGAUAGAGGUAGAAAUUCGUUAGAUAAUCAAGCAGAACACCGUGCCGGCGAAGGCGGCCUUCUGGACGAUGAC
rnacentral:rRNA from 1 species